rnacentral:rRNA from 1 species
GCGAACAGGAUUAGAUACCCUGGUAGUCCACGCCGUAAACGAUGUCGACUUGGAGGUUGUUCCCUUGAGGAGUGGCUUCCGGAGCUAACGCGUUAAGUCGACCGCCUGGGGAGUACGGCCGCAAGGUUAAAACUCAAAUGAAUUGACGGGGGCCCGCACAAGCGGUGGAGCAUGUGGUUUAAUUCGAUGCAACGCGAAGAACCUUACCUACUCUUGACAUCCAGAGAACUUAGCAGAGAUGCUUUGGUGCCUUCGGGAACUCUGAGACAGGUGCUGCAUGGCUGUCGUCAGCUCGUGUUGUGAAAUGUUGGGUUAAGUCCCGCAACGAGCGCAACCCUUAUCCUUUGUUGCCAGCGGUUAGGCCGGGAACUCAAAGGAGACUGCCAGUGAUAAACUGGAGGAAGGUGGGGAUGACGUCAAGUCAUCAUGGCCCUUACGAGUAGGGCUACACACGUGCUACAAUGGCGCAUACAAAGAGAAGCGACCUCGCGAGAGCAAGCGGACCUCAUAAAGUGCGUCGUAGUCCGGAUUGGAGUCUGCAACUCGACUCCAUGAAGUCGGAAUCGCUAGUAAUCGUAGAUCAGAAUGCUACGGUGAAUACGUUCCCGGGCCUUGUACACACCGCCCGUCACACCAUGGGAGUGGGUUGCAAAAGAAGUAGGUAGCUUAACCUUCGGGAGGGCGCUUACCACUUUGUGAUUCAUGACUGGG